rnacentral:rRNA from 1 species
GAUGAACGCUGGCGGCGUGCCUAAUACAUGCAAGUCGAGCGAACGGACGAGAAGCUUGCUUCUCUGAUGUUAGCGGCGGACGGGUGAGUAACACGUGGAUAACCUCCCUAUAAGACUGGGAUAACUUCGGGAAACCGGAGCUAAUACCGGAUAAUAUUUUGAACCGCAUGGUUCAAAAGUGAAAGACGGUCUUGCUGUCACUUAUAGAUGGAUCCGCGCUGCAUUAGCUAGUUGGUAAGGUAACGGCUUACCAAGGCAACGAUGCAUAGCCGACCUGAGAGGGUGAUCGGCCACACUGGAACUGAGACACGGUCCAGACUCCUACGGGAGGCAGCAGUAGGGAAUCUUCCGCAAUGGGCGAAAACCUGACGGAGCAACGCCGCGUGAGUGAUGAAGGUCUUCGGAUCGUAAAACUCUGUUAUUAGGGAAGAACAUAUGUGUAAGUAACUGUGCACAUCUUGACGGUACCUAAUCAGAAAGCCACGGCUAACUACGUG